rnacentral:rRNA from 1 species
AUGAUGUGGUUUAAUUCGAUGCAACGCGAAAACCUUACCCACCUUUGACAUGUACGGAAUCCUUUAGAGAUAGAGGAGUGCUCGAAAGAGAGCCGUAACACAGGUGCUGCAUGGCUGUCGUCAGCUCGUGUCGUGAGAUGUUGGGUUAAGUCCCGCAACGAGCGCAACCCUUGUCAUUAGUUGCUACGAAAGGGCACUCUAAUGAGACUGCCGGUGACAAACCGGAGGAAGGUGGGGAUGACGUCAAGUCCUCAUGGCCCUUAUGGGUAGGGCUUCACACGUCAUACAAUGGUCGGUACAGAGGGUUGCCAACCCGCGAGGGGGAGCUAAUCCCACAAAGCCGAUCGUAGUCCGGAUCGCAGUCUGCAACUCGACUGCGUGAAGUCGGAAUCGCUAGUAAUCGUGGAUCAGCAUGUCACGGUGAAUACGUUCCCGGGUCUU